rnacentral:lncRNA from 1 species
UAAAAAGAAAGACCUUUAUAGGGUUGCCUGUCAACUUGCCUUUUAGUUGAUUUUAGAUCCAGUCAAGUUGACAGUCACAAUUAAACAUCAUGGGGGUGGGGAGUAGGGUGAGUCACUUGUUUCUUUUAUCAAUAUGGUUACAUUGAAUAAAUUAUUUUUCACUGUUAAUGGGUCUCUUUUUAACUGACCUAUUAAGAAUGAGUAGCUGAUCCUGGUUUGUUAGGGCUUCGGAGACGCAGGCUGACCUUAGCAAUUCCAGUAACACGAGGGUUGACUGAGAAGUACAUGCCAGGUUCUUAGUCUCAUGCCUGGAACACAGUGACUACUCAGGAAGUUGUUUUUGAAUAAUUUUCCUGUGGAUGAAAACUUGGCCAAAGAAUGACAAGUGGAAAAGCCUACUCCAAAUCCUUUCAAAAGAAAGCAAAUUUGUCAGAGACCAUUAUUCCCUUGUGAAAACAUUUCCCUUUAAAAAUCCUUUUCAAGGGUGGGAAAGAUGACUCUGUCAUUAAGAGCUUACAGCUUGCUGCUUUUGAAGACAAUCCAGGUUAAGUUUGCAGAAUCCACAUGGUGCUAUCAAUAACUCUAGUUCCAGGGGAUGAGAUGCUCUUCUGACCUCUGCAGGUUCCUGCAUGCACAUGAUACACACACACACACACACACACACACACACACACACACACACACUCAGGCAUACACACAAAUACAUAAAAUAAAAAGAAUAAAAGAAUUCCAUUCUAUCUUUGUAUGUGCACAUGUGUGUGUUCUGAGGCAUGUUUGCUCUAGUGUUUGCUUGUGCGUGUACACAUUGAGGCCAGAAGUUGCUGAUGUUACGAUGUCUUCUUUGCUUUCUACCUUGUCUGUCUGAUUUGUUUGUUUGUUUGUUUGUUUAAGACAAAGACUCUAACUGAACUUAGAACUAGGCUGUAUGACCAAUGACCCUUCAGAUGAAUCUGUCUCAGUGAAUCAGGUACAGA